ensembl:lncRNA
CUAGUGACAGCUGUGCUAAUGAGAUAACUCUUAUUAAUUCCUUGCUUACAUGGGAAGGAACUCACCCAGUCUAGAUAAAAUUAUAGUCUUAACUCAGCGAACUUUUUAAAUGCGAAAGCCAAAAGGAGGCCCCACUAGAAGUGGAGGCAUGGGAAAUCUCCUUGGAGCUGGGCCCAUGAGGGAAUCCACUGCUCUGAAUAGGAUGACUUCUAAAGGAUUUGCCAGCUUUGAAAUGGAUCACAGGGAGAUGGGAAUGGAAAAGCAGAGAAACAUGACAGAAACGUGCUCAGCAGUACUCGUGGGACUGGAGACUAACAGAGCUGACAGCAACAAACUAUUUUACAAAACAAGUGGUCUCACCCAUGCAACGCAACCAAAUUAAUUGGAACGAUUGAGACAAACCAAAGCAAAGCCUGAAGUGGAACCCACUGCCAUCAUUUCAAGACCUAUUAUUUCAAGUAACCACGUGGGGAACAUGAUGGUGAUUGCGGCCAGUGUGGAGUGGUUGCCUUCUUCCAACAUGGGCAGAGUGCUG